UUUCCUGCUUAAAGCUAAUCUGAGCAGGGUAAGCCGGCCCCUAAGGCGAGGCCGAAAGGCGUAGUCGAUGGGAACCACGUUAAUAUUCGUGGGCCAGGAGGAAGUGACGGAUCUCAAAGAUUGUCUGCCCUUAUCGGAUUGGGUGGGCCGUUCAGAGGUUCCAGGAAAUAGCCCUCCAUGAGACCGUACCCUAAACCGACACAGGUGGACUGGUAGAGUAUACCAAGGCGCUUGAGAGAGCCACAUUUAAGGAACUCGGCAAAAUGCCUCCGUAAGUUCGCGAGAAGGAGGCCCCGUCUGUAGGCAACUAUGGGCGGGGGGCACAAACUAGGGGGUGGCGACUGUUUACUUAAAACACAGGGCUGUGCGAAGCCGUAAGGCGACGUAUACAGUCUGACGCCUGCCCGGUGCUGGAAGAUUAAGAGGAGGGGUGCAAGCUCUGAAUUGAAGUCCCAGUAAACGGCGGCCGUAACUAUAACGGUCCUAAGGUAGCGAAAUUCCUUGUCGGGUAAGUUCCGACCUGCACGAAUGGCGUAACGAUCUCCCCGCUGUCUCAAAUGUGGACUCAGCGAAAUUGAACUGUGUGUCAAGAUGCACACUACCCGCGGUUAGACGGAAAGACCCCAUGCACCUUUACUCCAGCUUUGCACUGGUAUCAGGAUUGUGAUGUGCAGGAUAGGUGGUAGGCAUCGGAGCGGGGACGCUAGUCUUCGUGGAGCCUCCCUUGAGAUACCACCCUUCGCCAUCUUGAUAUCUAACCGCGGUCCCUUAUCGGGAUCCGGGACCCUGCAUGGCGGGGAGUUUGACUGGGGCGGUCGCCUCCCAAACAGUAACGGAGGCGCGCGAAGGUAGGCUCAGACCGGUCGGAAAUCGGUCGUUGAGUGCAAUGGCAGAAGCCUGCCUGACUGCAAGUCUGACAAGACGAGCAGAGACGAAAGUCGGUCAUAGUGAUCCGGUGGUCCCAAGUGGGAGGGCCAUCGCUCAACGGAUAAAAGGUACGCUGGGGAUAACAGGCUGAUGAUGCCCAAGAGUCCAUACCGACGGCAUCGUUUGGCACCUCGAUGUCGGCUCAUCUCAUCCUGGGGCUGGAGCAGGUCCCAAGGGUAUGGCUGUUCGCCAUUUAAAGAGGUACGUGAGCUGGGUUUAGAACGUCGUGAGACAGUUCGGUCCCUAUCUGCCGUGGGUGUAGGAGAUUUGAGAAGAGUUGCCCCUAGUACGAGAGGACCGGGGUGAACGAACCACUGGUGGACCAGUUAUCGUGCCAACGGUAGUGCUGGGUAGCUAUGUUCGGACAGGAUAACCGCUGAAGGCAUCUAAGCGGGAAGCCCCCUUCAAAACAAGAUCUCCCUUGAGAGCCGUGGAAGACCACCACGUCGAUAGGCCAGAGAUGUAAGUGCAGCAAUGCAUUCAGUUGACUGGUACUAAUUGCCC
rnacentral:rRNA from 1 species